UACAGAGGGUGCUAGCGUUGUUCGGAAUCAUUGGGCGUAAAGGGCGUGUAGGCGGUUUGUUAAGUCAUGUGUGAAAUCCCUCGGCUCAACCGGGGAACGACGCAUGAAACUGGCAAGCUAGAGUACCAAAGAGGGGGGUGGAAUUCCCGGUGUAGCGGUGAAAUGCGUAGAUAUCUGGAGGAACACCGGUGGCGAAGGCGGCGUUCUGGACUGCAACUGACACUGAGGAACGAAAGCCAGGGUAGCAAACGGG
rnacentral:rRNA from 1 species